ensembl:lncRNA
AAAGAGAGCAGCUCAGCGUCGAGUCUCACGUCUGGGUUUGUCAGCAGAAAGAGAGCAGCUCAGCGUUGAGUCUCACGUCUGGGUUUGUCAGCAGAAAGAGAGCAGCUCAGCGUCGAGUCACACGUCUGUGUUUUUUUCAGCAGGAGACGACUUGGGUGUACAGGUCCUGCCCUUGGAAAAGCUGAUCUGGACUGUCUCAUUGGACCGCCAAGGUCUGCCAGCCGGAACGUUCCAGAAUGUUUGUGAACGAUAGCUGGACACGUACUCACACACAUUGACUGUAGGUUUCCGACCCGUUGAAGAAUCCGGGCUCCCACUGUCUCGUCGUUGUAGGGUGGUACAGUAUGUGUGACAGCUGAACCCACCUGCCUGGACCUGGGUUCACUCCAAAUGGAACCCUACUUCCUACACAGUGACCUACUAUUGACAAGGAAGGGCCCAGUGAGCUGCACAGUUACAUGACAGCUGAACCCACCUGCCUGGACCUGGGUUCACUCCAAAUGGAACCCUACUUCCUACACAGUGACCUACUAUUGACAAGGAAGGGCCCAGUGAGCUGCACAGUUACAUGGCACACCACUGCUUCCCGUGUCAUCGGUGGUCAUCCGGCGUACACUGCGAGGCGCCUCCUGAGUGUUCAACCGCAGGGAAGGGGUUUCCUGAUGGAUGCGCCCACAGGGGAGGUGCUGGGUCCCCUGCUCGAGACAUCCUGGACCCAGCCCUCAUCGCCGACUUCCACUGCCGGCAACCGGGGCAACCAGGUACGCACCCAGGUAGGAUGCCAGGUGAUUGAUGAUCUAAGUAAGUGAUCUAAGUGAUUGUCUCUACCCCCCUCCAGGUGUUGCCCAUCUCCCCCCAUUAUCCCCUGUGUAUGUAUACCUGUGUUUUCUGUCUGUUCAGUUAACCAAUGUUUUUUUCUCAGCUUCUGCUUUUCCCCAGUCUCUUCUUUUUCUCGCCCUUCUGGUUUUGACCUUUGCCUGUCUUGUCUCUGAGCCCACCUGCCUGACCACUGCCUGUCCUGACCCUGAGCCCACCUGCCUGACCACUGCCUGUCCUGUCUCUGAGCCCACCUGCCUGACCACUGCCUGUCCUGUCUCUGAGCCCACCUGCCUGACCACUGCCUGUCCUGUCUCUGAGCCCACCUGCCGGAUCACUGCCUGUCCUGUCUCUGAGCCCACCUGCCUGACCACUGCCUGCCCUGACCCUAAGCCCACCUGCACGACCUUUGCCUGACCCUGAGCCCGCCUACCGUCCUGUACCUUUCCCCGACUACUCUGGACUAUUGAUCCCUGACUGCCUUGACCUGUCUAUUACCUGCCCCUGUGGGAUAAUUAAACUAUUGUUUAUUCAACGUGGUCUGCAU